GACGAACGCUGGCGGCGUGCCUAACACAUGCAAGUCGAACGAGAAUCGUAUGACGGAGGCUUCGGCCAACUGAUUACGAGGAAAGUGGCGGACGGGUGAGUAACGCGUGGGUAACCUGCCUCACACUGGGGGAUAACAGUCAGAAAUGACUGCUAAUACCGCAUAAGCGCACAGCAUCGCAUGAUGCAGUGUGAAAAACUCCGGUGGUGUGAGAUGGACCCGCGUUGGAUUAGCUAGUUGGUGGGGUAACGGCUCACCAAGGCGACGAUCAGUAGCCGACCUGAGAGGGUGACCGGCCACAUUGGAACUGAGACACGGUCCAA
rnacentral:rRNA from 1 species